rnacentral:rRNA from 1 species
UGGGGAAUAUUGCGCAAUGGACGAAAGUCUGACGCAGCGACGCCGUGUGAGGGAUGAAGGCCUUCGGGUCGUAAACCUCUGUCAGGGGGAAAGAAUGUCACCUGUGCUAAUCAGCAGGUGUUUGACGGUACCCCCAAAGGAAGCACCGGCUAACUCCGUGCCAGCAGCCGCGGUAAUACGGAGGGUGCGAGCGUUAAUCGGAAUCACUGGGCGUAAAGAGUUCGUAGGCUGUUUUGUAAGUUAGGGGUGAAAUCCCGCGGCUCAACCGCGGAACUGCCUUUAAAACUGCUCAACUUGAGUGCGAGAGAGGGUGGCAGAAUUCCUGGUGUAGGAGUGAAAUCCGUAGAUAUCAGGAGGAAUACCGGUGGCGAAGGCGGCCACCUGGCUCGUUACUGACGCUGAGGAACGAAAGCGUGGGGAGCAAACA